CCAAAAAGAACUUUCUUAAUUAUAUCUGGCUACCAUGGCAGAGUGCUACAACUUUCACCCCACCAGCUGGAAUGAUAAACACGAGGCCAGAACCCUUUCCCAUGCUGCAGAUAGGGUUACACUUGGAAAAUGUAAAUAGUUUUCCAGCACCAGCUCAUGCAUCUAUUUUCUGCUUUGGAUUUCAUCCAAAUCAGGAGGGAAAGAAGAGGUGAGGAAAGCAGAAGGAGAAUGGAGGAAUCAGAAGACAAACAGGACCUGGGUGGUCACAGAUUUCAUCAUGAAGCAAAGUAGAGAGAGGAGCCUAUUGUUAAGAUUCUUUUGUGUCAUGUCCUGUAAGGAAAAUACACGUCAGUGAGAACCUCUUGGAUUUAUACAAAGUACUUACAACAUCCUAAGAUGAUUAUCUCAUCCACAGAGAUAUCGUGAGGGGCUUUUGUCAGAUGCCUCACCGGAAUCCAGAUACACUAUACUCAAC
rnacentral:lncRNA from 1 species